rnacentral:misc_RNA from 1 species
UUUCCGUUGGCGGCGUAACCG